GCAGUGUGUCCCCGAGAAAGUGUCAGAGCCUUUACGUGGACCUUCUCAUGAAAAAGGAAACAGAAUAGUCAAUGGAAAAGGAAAAGGGCCUCCUGCAAAACAUCCUUCCUUGAAGCCUAGCACUGAAGUGGAAGAUCCUGCUGUGAAAGGAGCAGUACAAAGAAAGAAUGUAUAGACAUUGAGAGCAGAACAAACCUUACCAGUGGCUUAGAGGAAGAGCAAGAAAGGUGUGAAAGAAGUGAAAAGAAGCAAUCACAGGUCAAAGAAGGAAAUAAUACAAACAAAAGUGAAAAAAUACAACUAUCAGAAAAUGUAUGUCAUAGUACAUCUUCUGCUGCUGCUGACAGAUUAACCAAACAAAGAAAGGUUGGGAAAACGUAUCCUCAGCAAUUUCCCAAGAAACUGAAGGAAGAGCAUGAUAGAUGCAUCUUAAGACAAGAAAGUGAAGAAAAAACAAAUGUUAAUAUGCUGUACAAAAAAAUAGAGAAGAAUUAGAAAGGAAAGAGAAACAAUAUAAGAAAGAAGUUGAAGCAAAACAACUUGAACCAACUGUUCAAUCACUAGAGAUGAAACUGAAGACUACAAGAAAUACUCCAAAUCAGAUUUUCAUAAUCAGGAAGAAAUGAAAGAUCUGAUGGAUGAAAAUUGCAUUUUGAAGACAGAUAUUGCUAUACUCAGACAGGAAAUAUGCACAAUGAAAAAUGACAAUGUGGAAAAAGAAAAUAAAUAUCUUAAGGACGUUAAAAUUGUUAAAAAAACAAAUGCUGCCCUUGAAAAGUAUAUAAAACUCAAUGAGGAAUUGAUAACAAAAACAGCAUUCCGGUAUCAACAAGAGCUUAAUGAUCUCAAAGCUGAGAAUACAAGGCUCAAUUCCGAACUGUUGAAGGAAGAAGAAAGCAACAAAAGACUGGAAGCUGAAAUUGAAUCAUCAGUCUAGACUGACUGCUGCUAUAAGUAAACACAGUGAAAGUGUGAAAACAGAAAGAAACCUAAAACUUGCAUUAGAGUGAACACAAGACGUUUCCGUACAAGUAAAAAUGAGUUCUGAUAUUUCCGAAGUAGAAGAUAAGAAUGAGUUUCUUACUGAACAACUUUCUAAAAUGCAAAUUAAACUCAAUACCUUAAAAGAUAAGUUCCGUAAGAAAAGAGAUACUCUCAGAAAAAAGUCAUCGGCUUUAGAAACUCUCCAAACGACCUAAGCCAAACACAGCAGCAAAUAAAGGAAAUGAAAGAGAUGUAUGAAAAUGCAGAAGAUAAAGUGAAUAAUUCCACUGGAAAGUGGAGCUGUGUAGAAGAGAGGAUAUGUCAUCUCCAACAUGAAAAUCCGUGCAUUGAACAGCAACUAGAUGAUGUUCAUCAGAAAGAGGAUCAUAAAGAGAUAGUAACUAAUAUCCAAAGAGGCUUUAUUGAGAGUGGAAAGAAAGACCUCAUGCUAGAAGAGAAAAAUAAGAAGCUAAUGAAUGAAUGUGAUCAUUUAAAAGAAAGUCUCUUUCAAUAUGAGAGAGAGAAAGCAGAAAGAGUAGUAAGUGGUUGUGAGACAACUUCAACAAGAAGCGGCUGACAGCCUAAAAAAAUUAACUAUGUUAGAGUCUCCACUGGAAGGCAUAUCACAUUAUCACAUUAAUUUGGAUGAGACACAGGUCCCAAAAAAGAAAUUAUUUCAAGUGGAAAGUCAAUUUGAUGAUCUUAUGGUGGAGAAGGAAGCUGUAUCUUCAAAAUGUGUCAAUUUGGCUAAAGAGAAUCAAGUUUUUCAACAGAAGUUAUUAUCUAUGAAAAAAGUACAACAGGAAUGUGAAAAACUUGAGGAGGAUAAAAAGAUGUUGGAAGAAGAAAUAUUAAAUCUUAAGACACAUAUGGAAAACAGUAUGGUAGAACUUAGUAAACUACAAGAAUAUAAAUCAGAGCUAGAUGAAAGGGCAAUGCAGGCAGUAGAAAAAUUAGAAGAAAUCCAUUUACAGGAACAAGCACAAUAUAAAAAACAAUUAGAGCAGUUAAACAAGGAUAUAAUACAGCUUCACUAAAUAAGAAGGAACUCACACUUAAAGAUGUGGAAUGUAAAUUCUACAAAAUGAAAACUGCUUAUGAAGAGGUUACAACUGAGUUAGAAGAAUAUAAGGAAGGCUUUGCAGCAGCAUUGAAAGCUAACAGUUCCAUGUCAAAAAAAUUAACUAAAUCGAAUAAGAAAAUAGCAAUGAUCAGUAUCAGCUCUUUAUGGAGAAAGAGCAGGUGAAAUAUUUUCUCAGCACUCUUCCUACAAGGCGAGGUCGAGAGUCACCUUGUGUUGAAAAUCUUACUAGUAUAGGACUCAACAGAAAAUAUAUUCCCCAAAUGCCCGUAAGAAUUCCUACUUCAAACCUCAGACUUCAAAUAACUGCCAGAACUACUUGACUGAU
rnacentral:lncRNA from 1 species